rnacentral:sRNA from 1 species
GCCAGGCGUGGGGGUGUAUGCCCGCAAUCCCAGCUACUCGGGAGGCUGAGGAAGGAGGAUUGCAAGCUCCAGACCAGCCUGGGUGACUUAGUCAGACCCUGUCUCAA